rnacentral:rRNA from 1 species
UACGUAGGGGGCUAGCGUUGUCCGGAUUUAUUGGGCGUAAAGAGCGUGUAGACGGCCAGGUAGGUCUGCUGUGAAAACUCGAGGCUCAACCUCGAGACGUCGGCGGAAACCAUCUGGCUAGAGUCCGGAAGAGGAGAGUGGAAUUCCUGGUGUAGCGGUGAAAUGCGCAGAUAUCAGGAAGAACACCCGUGGCGAAGGCGGCUCUCUGGGACGGUACUGACGCUGAGACGCGAAAGCGUGGGGAGCGAACAGG